AGUGAACGCUGGCGGUAGGCCUAACACAUGCAAGUCGAACGGCAGCACAGUAAGAGCUUGCUCUUACGGGUGGCGAGUGGCGGACGGGUGAGGAAUACAUCGGAAUCUACUUUUUCGUGGGGGAUAACGUAGGGAAACUUACGCUAAUACCGCAUACGACCUACGGGUGAAAGCAGGGGAUCUUCGGACCUUGCGCGAUUGAAUGAGCCGAUGUCGGAUUAGCUAGUUGGCGGGGUAAAGGCCCACCAAGGCGACGAUCCGUAGCUGGUCUGAGAGGAUGAUCAGCAACACUGGAACUGAGACACGGUCCAGACUCCUACGGGAGGCAGCAGUGGGGAAUAUUGGACAAUGGGCGCAAGCCUGAUCCAGCCAUACCGCGUGGGUGAAGAAGGCCUUCGGGUUGUAAAGCCCUUUUGUUGGGAAAGAAAAGCAGCAGGUUAAUACCCCGCUGUUCUGACGGUACCCAAAGAAUAAGCACCGGCUAACUUC
rnacentral:rRNA from 1 species